rnacentral:tRNA from 1 species
AGCUCAGUCGGUAGAGCAGCGGACUUUUAAUCCGUUGGUCGCGCGUUCGAGUCGCGCACGACCCACCA